GGGCUUGUGGCGCAAUGGAUAACGCGUCUGACUACGGAUCAGAAGAUUCUAGGUUCGAAUCCUCGCAAGCUCG
rnacentral:tRNA from 1 species